GCGAUCACCCAGCAAUCCACCCUUCCUGAAACAUAGGAUAAUCUGGGUAGUUUGUCUCCUUGUGGCUGAACUUUUGUUCUCUGGCACAUGCAUACCCUCUCCUAUAUGGAUUCCCAUAUCUGGCGUGGACCUUUUUGGUAGGCUAUGAUUGUAUAUCCUCCCCGUGAACACAGAGACAUUGAUCUCCAUAUACAGCAUUCUCCCCUUGUUUUUGGCGUACUUUCACACUGAGACAGGACUCUAUCUACAGAUCUUAUUGACUACAUGUAUUUCUCUGACACAAUGAUCGUCUGUAAUACCCCUUGAAGAAGGAUCACAGAUACCGAAACGGCUGUCGGGUUGGACCAAUUUUUGUCUCAUGUCUGUUUUAUUGCUUUACAAAUAGGAUCUGUAUACCACUUGCAUGUGGUUUUUUAUCCUUGCUAGGACACUGUACGAUGUCCUUACUUAAAUUGUUUAAAUAAAUUUGCUAUAUAUUUUUCUACUCA